UCGACAGUCUUCUUCCAUAUUUCACCUUAACAAAUUUUCUUCAAGAUUUAAAACUUUACAUGUCAAACAGUCGACGCAAUUCCUAAUUUCCGAUAACUCGAGGCGGGAGAGGGAGGAUUGGUUCAUGGUUCUAAUGGAGGUCUUUUGAGGGCCUUAUGUUCUCCAGUUGCUGCAUCUUCGAGCUUUGAGGCGGAGCUUAUGGCUCUUAUUCGAGGUUUAGAGAUGGCUAUGGAGUUCUAUGCACACAUUUGGAUAGAGAUGGACUCAACGGCACUAGUUACCUUACUGUCACAGUUUGGUUUCGCGGAUCUUAGUCACCAUAUGACUUUGAUUCAAAGUAUGACUUUUCAGUCGCAGGUUCAAUUCUCACACAUCUACAGAGAGGGUAACCGCGCUGCCGACUUCUUUGCAGGGAGGGAGGCGUAGACCCUUGCCCUGACCUAUUAUGAUUCAGUUUUUGCGCCUCGGUAUCUAAAGGCGCUAGUUAAGAAGGACCACCUGGGAAAUAAUAAAUUAAAUAGGAAAAGCCCGAAUUACUUGUAAUUUGGGAUUAAACGGGCAGUCAAUAUUAUUUCACUAUAGUGGCUGAUAAUAAUAUUCUAUCGUACUUGUAUUAAAUUGGGGCUCAAUAGUAAAAGUCUAACACAUUUGGCCCAAGUCCAACUGAAGAGAGGAGUUUUGCACGUGUGUCAUGUGCACGUGUCCUUUACUUCAACAAGAUUUAUAGUUUCCCACUUUUGUAACAAAUAUUACUAAAUAUAAGCGGCAAGAGCGGGGUCGAACCCACA